rnacentral:rRNA from 1 species
UACGUAGGGGGCGAGCGUUGUCCGGAUUUAUUGGGCGUAAAGAGCGUGUAGGCGGCCAGGUAGGUCUGCUGUGAAAACUCGAGGCUCAACCUCGAGACGUCGGCGGAAACCAUCUGGCUAGAGUCCGGAAGAGGAGAGUGGAAUUCCUGGUGUAGCGGUGAAAUGCGUAGAUAUCUGGAGGAACACCGGUGGCGAAGGCGGCGUCCUGGACCAACACUGACACUGAUGAGCGAAAGCCAGGGGAGCAAACGGG